CCCAGGCUGUGGGGUUCAGGGAGGGACCAGGCCCUUCAGAGGUGGGAUCUGAAUUCUGGCGGAUGACAGCUGCUCGGGGCAGUGGGCGUGGCAGUGGGCGUGGGGAUGGCAGGGUCAGGGUCGUGGGAGGCUGGGAAGGCAGCCAGGUUUCUGGUGGGCUGGUCCUGCAGAGGGACUCGUGUGGUCCAUCCUGAGCCUCCACCGGCCUCUGCAUAGGAGGAGUUUGGGAAAGAGGUCCUGGAGGGCCGGGGGAGGUUUGGGGGAUGGGAGGUUCUGGGCCUGUGUUGCUUGGUUUGGUCUUGGUCAAGGGAAAGUUCUGUUGCUUGUUCUUCCUUGUUCUCGCUUCUACCUCUCGUCAGCAGGAUUGAUGCCCGACCAUAAUGAUACAGAGGCUUUCUGUCCCCAGGCAGGAUUUGCUACUGCUGCUGCUGUUGCUGCUGCUGCUCCUUCUGAAGUUGCUGCUGCUGCUGCUGCUGCUGCAGGGACUUGAGGUAGGCAUGCUCCUGCUGCAGCUGCCUUUGGAGACGUUACUGCCGCUGCUCCUCUAGUUGCUUCCGCUUAUAUUCCUGCUCUUGCUCAACCUGCCGCUGCUCCUCCUGCCGCAGAGCCUGAAUGUCCUCUAGCCGCCACUGCUGCUCCUUUUCCUUCAGAUUCUGCUGCUUGCGCUCUCAACGCUGUUGCUCCUCAGCUCCUCGCCGCUCCUCCUCUCGCUCCUCUAUUCGACGCUGCCGCUGGUGCAACAGGUGUUUGAUGUGCACCUCAGGGUCUCGCUGUUGCUGCUGCUGCUGCUUUAAAGCCUCGGAGUUGUCCUUAUUCUCCUGCUGGAGCCGGAGGAAUUCCUGGCGUAGUGUGAACUCCCCAGGCACAUUCAUGAUGGAGCUUGGCUCUCCUUCUUCUCCAUGGCUGUCAUCUUCUUCUUCACUGCCGCUAUACUCAUAUUCUGUCUCCUCUUUCUUGCCCCGCUUCUUCCGGGACCGGUCAACGUGGUCCUUGAGCUGGAUGGGGACCUGCCGCUCUGUGGGCUGGUCUCAGAUGAAGGGAAGCUUCAGUAGCUGCUCGGUUGGCGGUCGGCUCAGGUCGAUCACUGAACCAGCACCACAGAACUCCAUCACCAGCCAGAGCUGGCCAUCAUUCCCAGGGGCGCUCUUCUUGAUGAAGGCCCCAUAGUAGGUGGCAAUGUUGUGGAGGGCCCCUGGCAUGUGGCUUGUUGAAGUGAAUGAGUUGAUGAGAUGCUAGUUCAUGAUUCUCCAUCCCCUAUUGUUGAAGUGUACAUGGCUGGGGCUGCAGCUAGAAGACCAAGAAUUCCAGUUAAGUGACAGCCAGUAUGCCUUAUUAUGUGAUAAUGGACUACUAUAACUGCUGGGAAAAUAAAGAAGCUUUGCUGCUGUUUGUGCCAAUGUCUGCCCCACAUGCCUUCUUUUCUUGGAGACUCACCUGAAAGAAACCCACUUCAGCCACUAGACCUCAACACUUGGUGUAGUUGGCAGAGUUGCUGAAUAUAUCCUGGAGGUGGACAUACUGACUGGUGCCUGGUUGAACACUAUGCAGGGAGAAUUCCAUUAUCCAAGGACAUCCUCACCAAGCACAGUGCAACCUUUCUCUUUUUGUAUUAUUACUCAGUUCUCAAAGAAUCAAGAUGCCUUCAGCUGAUGUAAUCUUGCCCUUGAGUAUCACGGCAUCACGGGACCAUUGAGGCCUCAGCUGUGACUGGAGAAUGAGUCAAGCCAAUGGCAUCAUCUCCUGGGCCCAUAUGUUUGCUCAUGUGCACCAGCACUCACACUAUUGGGUGUGCACAGAACUCCUGACACAGGGCCUUCUGUGAAUUGUGCCAGCAUCCCCGCUCAAUUGGACAGACUGGUGACAACAGAACUGAACUGGACCCACCUGGGAUCACCGAUGCCAGGCUGUCAAGGCAUUACUGAUCUGAAAGAGAACAACCACCCCACGAGGACCAGACCUAUGAUGUAUAAUGACUGGGGGAGGGUGAUGGGGAACCAAGUAAUGUUGUUAGAUGUUACCCGACUGUGUAUUGAAUAGGUCAAUGCAUCAGUGGGGAAUCGCACAGCAGGAUGGAUACCACUCAACUUGUGUAACAUGUUACAGGUGAAUGACACAAAUGCCUGGUGGGAUGGCCAUAAGCUCAUAGGUACAGUGCCCACUGAUUGGCCCAUUGUGGAUGCCUUAUGGGUUUAUGGCACUAUGGGUUGGCCAUACCUACCCGUGCACUAGAUGGGGUGCUGCACCUGGGAUUUUCCCUCUAUUAAGGGCAUUAUCAGGCCCACUCUGACAGACACACCCUACAAUUGGGAUGCUGUGUAUCACAGAUUGCACCAAGCUAAACAGAUGGCCUGGUGGUUCUGUCCUAUGGUAGUACUGGUACCAAGGGUAGGGAGUAUAAAUUUAGCCCUCUAAGUUGAAGCUCUGGCUCAACACAUGACACAAGCCUUGAAUAUCACGCACCAGUCUUUGAUGUUGCUCAUGGAUGAAGCGUCCCAUAUGAGAAAGGUGGUGUUACAGAACCAUAUGGCUCUCAACUUGCUGACUGCAGCAUAGGAAGGCACUUAUGUCCUCCUGCAUGUAGAACGAUGCAUUUUUAUUCUUGACCCUCUGAUACAAGUACAAGAGGCCUUUUGAGAAAUGGAUACAGAGGUAUCUGCCAUCCAAGCCUCACAACAAGAUCCCCUGACCCAAUGGUGGGAAUCCCUGGGAUCCACCUAGUGUUAGUAGCUCUCAGCAGCACUGCGAUAGCUGUGGGGUUGGUGGUUAUGUGUUAUUCCCUGUAUUGCUGUUGUGGACUCUGGGCAUAAGGGGCAGCCCUGUGUACUACUCCCAAGAAUCAGCAACCUCCUAAUGUGUGAGAGGAUGGAAUAUGGGAGCCAUUUCGAGAAAUGUCAGUCAAAGCCUGGGUGUCUGAGGAGUCCUGGAGGACAUAACCCCAUUGUUAAAACAGGUGCAGGGUAGGCUUACUUAUGUAGCCAUAAGUCAACCAUGCAUGUGCAGCAUGGCCUGCAAGGUCACACAGUUGUUUUUCAGUAUGCCUAAAUAUGUGAUAAUGGGCUACUAUAACUGCUGGGAAAAUAAAGAAGCUUUGCUGCUA